CGGGUGGGCCCUCGAAAUCCAUUGUCGGGGGUUUCAGUCACGAGGUUCGGAGGCGAAGCUUGUAUUAGGACGGCCUUGUAUUUUAAGGCAUGCCUUAUGGGCUUCGUCCAGUCUCCGGGCGGGCGUGACGCAUUUCCCUCGGCACUCUGGACGCCGCAGCCGGUCGGGUAGCUGCGCGUGUCGGCCAUGAGGUCGGACGCCGGCAGGUGGCCGGUGGUCUCACUCUAUUGUUGGGGCUAUCGGUUGUUAGCCAGUCCGUCCGUGGCGCGACACCCGACCGAGGAAGAUAUAUUAAUCUUAGAGCCUUCCCCUCCCGCCCUGUUAAACCGUUAAAAGUUUAAUUUGGGCGGCCGAGCGAUUGUUGCCGUCAGGUGUCAGUGCGCGUGGGUCGUCGCAGUCUUCGCACUGGGCGAUCCGCACUGCACCGCCGUUCAGAUCGGUAUAUACAUUCGCGGGGGAAAUAAGAAGGCUGGCGGCGAGUAGGUCGGUCACCCACCCGACCCGUCUUGAAACACGGACCAAGGAGUCUAACAUGUGCGCGAGUCACUGGGUCUUGUUCAGGCCCAAAGGCGCAAUGAAAGUGAAAGUCGACUUUUAGUCGACCGAGUUGGGAUCCUUCCUUUUGAAGACUUUAAAUUUUUGAUUAAGGAAGGCGCACCAACGACCCGCCCUAUCCGAUUCAUCGGUUGGACGGAGUCUGAGCGUACACGUUGGGACCCGAAAGAUGGUGAACUAUGCCUGGGCAGGACGAAGCCAGAGGAAACU
rnacentral:rRNA from 1 species